rnacentral:rRNA from 1 species
UAGGGAAUCUUCCGCAAUGGACGCAAGUCUGACGGAGCAACGCCGCGUGAGUGAAGAAGGAUUUCGGUUCGUAAAACUCUGUUGUUAGAGAAGGACAGCGCAUAGAGUAACUGUUAUGCGUGUGACGGUAUCUAACCAGAAAGCCACGGCUAACUACGUGCCAGCAGCCGCGGUAAUACGUAGGUGGCAAGCGUUGUCCGGAUUUAUUGGGCGUAAAGCGAGCGCAGGCGGUCAAUUAAGUCUGAUGUGAAAGCCCCCGGCUCAACCGGGGAGGGUCAUUGGAAACUGGUUGACUUGAGUGCAGAAGAGGAGAGUGGAAUUCCAUGUGUAGCGGUGAAAUGCGUAGAUAUAUGGAGGAACACCAGUGGCGAAGGCGACUCUCAGGUCUGUAACUGAAGCUGAGGCUCGAAAGCGUGGGUAGCAAACAGG